rnacentral:rRNA from 1 species
UGGGGAAUCUUGCACAAUGGGCGAAAGCCUGAUGCAGCCAUGCCGCGUGAGUGAAGAAGGCCCUAGGGUUGUAAAGCUCUUUCAGUGGUGAAGAUAAUGACGGUAACCACAGAAGAAGCCCCGGCUAACUUCGUGCCAGCAGCCGCGGUAAUACGAAGGGGGCUAGCGUUGUCCGGAAUUACUGGGCGUAAAGAGCACGUAGGCGGAUUGAUCAGUUGAGGGUGAAAGCCCAGGGCUCAACCCUGGAACUGCCUUCAAAACUGUCAGUCUAGAGAUCGGAAGAGGUGAGCGGAAUUCCUAGUGUAGAGGUGAAAUUCGUAGAUAUUAGGAAGAACACCGGUGGCGAAGGCGGCUCACUGGUCCGAUACUGACGCUAAGGUGCGAAAGCGUGGGGAGCAAACAGGAUUAGAUACCCCCGUAGUCC